CGCGUAAAUAAUCUACCCUGGUGUUUGGGAUAACCAGCCGAAAGGCUGACUAAUACCGGAUAUCUGUAAGGUUGUUGGACCUUACAUGAAAGAUGGCCUCUUCUUGAAAGCUAUCGCACCUGGAUGAGUUUGCGUACCAUUAGCUAGUUGGUGGGGUAAAGGCUUACCAAGGCAACGAUGGUUAGCGGGUCUGAGAGGAUGAUCCGUCACACUGGCACUGGAACACGGGCCAG
rnacentral:rRNA from 1 species